UUUAGUUUUACUUCGCUGCUCGCUGUUAUAUAUAUAUUUAUAAGUAGCCGGGUGGGAAAACGUGACUGUAGUUAUUAACACCACCAGAUGGCACUGUCUAAAUUUGGGAAACCCCCUGUGAGCGCAAAGGAUGUUGGGAAACGGUUUGGAGAGAGAACCGGAAGAGGAAAGCCAUCUUGUUUACCGCGAUGUGAGCGUGCAAUGUUUUCCGGUUAUUAUGGACUGUUUCUGAAGACAUGCAGACAGCGUAUAGAGCAUAGUCGUGUGGGGAACCCGAUGUAAUUAGUGUCCCGCCAUCACGCAUCACGCAUCAUGCUCCUGGACAGAUGCACAGGUGCUGGGCAGAUAGUGCACAGUGGGUUUAUUAGAGCUUUUUUGUUGAAACCCCCUGCUUGCUGCUGCUGGGAACAAAGCCGAUGAGACCAGUGAGCCUGACCCAAAACAGAAGCUGAAAGACGCUAAAACACUGUAGAGCUGAGGAGAACUGUGGAUGUAAGAAUUCAUGCACAGGCACAUACUGGAGCACUGUGGAAGGCGACAUACCAAUUAUUGGUGCCAAUAUCAUGUGAUGGGGAGGCAGGGCUCUUGACUGUGUGUGAUGAUGAGAGACAGCUCCGGGUUGGCGCUCCGCACAGAGUCUUCAGCUGACAAUAUGAAUUAUGGAGACCCGAAGGAGCAAGAGCAUGCAUCAGCAGACCCCCCACUCCUAUUAAUCCCUCUCUCAAAAGGUUCCACCGCAGAGACCCCAGACGUACCUCGCUGCGGCUCGCACGCACUUCAAACACUGGCUGAAACAUGAUGGAGGCAAUGGACCCAAGUGCUCCAUUGAGUUCUGUUCCAGCAACUUAAAUUUCUCUCGUAUCUAUAUAUAAUUCUUCAAUACAUUCUGUUUUCUCUGGGAUUUAAAUACUUACUGUUAAUAGUUGUUAAAAUAAUAAAUGUUAAGCUUAGAAAUAUAAUAUUCCAUCUAUUUUUAUCCACAUAUUAAUAAUUUCAGUGUUUUUUUUAUACAUCUGCAGCAUUAUGCAGGCCCGAAGUGUUCAAUAUCAAAUAAAAAAGACAUAAAAGAAAUUAUCACAUACAUAAAUUGUGAAACGUAUAUAAAUGAACCAAUUAUAAUAUACAUAAUACAGAAUUUUAGAACUCAUUAAAACUCAACCUCAACACUUUUUAAAUGUAAUUUUAUUGUUCUUAUUUUCAUGUUAUUUGAGUUCAUUUUGGGGUUUUUUUUAUAGAAAAUGUUAUUUAAAAAUUCAAUUAAAAAUUCCAGCCAAUCACAUGCCCCCCUGCCUUUUUUAAGCAAGUUAACUCAACAACUGCAAACAGAUUUUAGCUUUAGUUAGCUCCUGUUAACAACCAUGUCUAAGUCCUGAAUCAAACAACUAAAAUAACAGUACAUACACAUUAUCUUAACAAAAACACACACUACUCAGCCUUCUAACUAACUAGGCUGGGUUGUGCAUGAGCUUGGCUUGAGCUGAUGCUGUUAACAUUCUCCUCAGUUUCAUGAAGAGUAAUAAUCCAGGUUUACAACCAAACCCAUAGUUUGCCGGCUAGUUAGGUAGCGUGUGCAACCUUCUUAAGCUAACUAAAAAGAGAGGUUAGUGAUUGUGUCUGUAUACUGUGUUUAUUUACAGCAGCAACCUCUUUUUUUUUCUUUUUUUUUUCUCAAUUAGCAUGUAUUGUUGUAUUUUUAGCUAACAGGAGUUAACUGGUUAAAUAUGGUAGCAGUUUUUGAGCUUGCUUGUUUUAGAGAGAUAGGGGCUAUGUGAUUGGCUAAAAAGUGAGAGGCAAGGACUUGUGACAACUUCACUGAUAUGAAAGUGAAAUAAAAUCAUAAAAUAUAUGAAAUAAAAAGGCAUAUAAGGGGAAAAUAUGGAAUAAAAACAGACUUUUGGAAAAGGGCAUUUUGAAAUAAAAUCUAUAAUUUAAAAUAAUGAAUUCAUUUAUUCAUUCAUUCAUGUGAUUACUUGUUUAAUAAUGACUUAUUUACUCAUUUAAUAUUGAACACUUUGGGAUUCCAUACACUUCAUCAGAUUGAAAGCACAAUUCGUCCACCUACAAAUCUUAUGUUCCAAGCUCACAAAAUCAUAAUUCACAAAGUCAAGGACUGAGAGGCUGUUUUUUCAGCUAACAUCAUAAAUUAGUGCUCUCUACUGUAGCUCAUGUUUUAAAUUAUAUUUGUCAUACAUUUCCAUUUAUUUAGGAAUCCAUUGAAAUAACAAUCUUGCGAUCCCGACCAUUUGUUGAACCCUAACAUGAGCCUCUGUUGAAGGAGAUAUGAAAAUUGAGCCAGUCUAGAGAAAAGACAAAUCUUGUUGCGUGUUCCUCACUAAUCCUCCCUUUGGACGGUAAAUGCAUCGCAGAGCUUAGAAACACACCACCCAGACUGAACCGUGAUGUACAAGGAGACAAUAGAAUUGGUGAGUGUAUUUUCUCAUCUCAUGUCUUUGCCAAGUUCACAUGCCCACACACACACACUCCGGUGCCAACUGCAUCCCUCCCCCCCGCCCCCAGCCCUCACAACCCAUCCGCCACCGCAAACCACCAUAAUAUGACAGAUUUAUAUGCCGGAAGGUAAUGUUAAGAAUAUAUGAAAAUAAGUAAACCUUAUAUGAAGCAUCUUACACUUAGUGAUAGCUUUCUGCACAAACUGAGCUAGUAAGUGGUCAUAAAUUCUUAGAUCCACUGAGAAUGUGUUUGCUCUUAUCUCUUAAUCCAUUGAAUCAAUUUAAAUACCUGUUAAUUCAAUGAUAGUAUGAAAGCUAAUGGAUACUACAUUACAAUACUGGAAGGCUAUUGGAAUUGUGCAACAGUAAAUCUGACCAGCAUGCAGGAUGUGCAAAGAGUGCUUUGCAACAGAGACUAUCCUGUUGCACAUAUGCUGUCAGCUAAUCUCAUUACUUACAAAGAGCAGUCUCCACUGUUGGCAUGUUGUCUAAGGUUAACACACACACACACACACACACACACACACACACACACACACACACACACACACAGAGAAUGUGUUGUUAUUGAAUGUAUUCAUUUCACUUUCAGUACAUUUGUACGUGUUGAUAGAGCUCUUUGCUCCACUCUAAUGAAGGUUGCAAUUGAUUUUACAUUCUGUGCAUUCUGUGUUUUCCAGAUGUCAGACUGUGAUGUUCCAGCAUCAAAAUGUAUAUUGUUGCACUAAUCAGUGCAUUUGUGUGAACAAUUCCUACCUGACUGGAAUUUGUAUGAAGUGUAUCACAUCAUGGAAUGUAUUCCAUUAAUAUGAUUUGUGGUGCAUAAGCUAUGAGUUUUUACAGUAUUGUAUGUAACAGCUGAAGUAGAAGCUAAUACUUCUUUUUUCAUCCAAUUCAAACUAGCUAAACACACAUUAUGAAUGUGCAUAUCUAAAAGCAGCAGGCAUUUAUUCUUUUCAUUGUUUUGUUAUAUGUCAUUUACAGACAGUCUCUCCUGACUGUCAGGAACAAUUAGAUUUCUGAGGGAGAAUUGUCAAGUCACAUCAUUGGGAUUUAACCUCUGCUAAAUUGAAUAAGACUCUGCACCAAUAUUGAAUUGACAGCUCCAUACUAGUUUGAGCCAAACCUCCUCCCUUUUAUACAGCACUAUAUGCAUUUGAUUCCACAAAAUUAGAUUACUUUGAUAUCAGUCACAUUUCUUCCACUCAGUGUUUUCACACAACAUCAGCAUCAUCUUUCAUUAUCUGCCACUACUUUAGAGGUCCUCCACUGCACUCAUAAAUUCUGUGGAUUAUACAAUUGCUGUCAAACUGUCUGCUACCUCAUAAAUUUACUGCCACCACAAGAGGGUCAUUGGAUUCAAGGGGAGAGCUCCUGAAUCUCAGGUUGAUUUUUGUGUGCGGGAGAAGGGGUGUGGUACAGUAUACUGUAUGUGAAUCACUCUGCAUCUGCAGCCCAUGAUGCAAUGGAGAGGAUUCACUUGCCUAGGGCUGUACCUGAUCUGUGCAGUGAUCACAUGGAUGCCACCAGCCUUAAACAUGUAACUCCAAUGAAUUAUUAACAACGUAGGUGGGGAGAGAUACAAAGGGCAGGCAGUCAUAAAUGGUUUAUAACACAUUAUAAUAAGUUGUAAGCAAAUAAAAGUGUUUAAGAUGCUUA